CAUCCAUCCACCUAUCUGUCUGUCCAUCUAUAUAUCUGUCUGUCUGUCUGUCCGUCCGUCUAAAUGAUACCAAGCAUGUUUACACAGAUAUAUCUCCUGCAGCAUGAUGGGAAUCUUUGGGAGUUUCUGAAAGAGACACACAGCAUCUGUUGGGCACAUGUGCUGAAAGAAUAUGGCUGUGCCUAUACAGCACAUACCUCAGAGAAGCUGCCAAAAAACAUCUGUGGUUUUUCUGAAGCACGCACACAGAAAGCGGCUGUCACAAGGCAAAAUGUUCGGAGAACCUGACAAUCCCACAAUGUCUGCAUAACGAAAAAUGAAACGUUCUGAUAAAUGGAAUCUUCGUAUAACCAAGCAAAAAGGCGUUUUGAAUUUUGAAAGAACAUUCAGAAAUAAUGUUUUCAUAAUUUAAUUGAAAUGU